ensembl:lncRNA
CUUGUAGCCUAGCCUAAGAUAUUAGCUAGUUUAUUUCUGAUUGUAAAAAUGUCUUUUUUCUUAUGUGUAACACUUAAUCUUACAUUUAUUUCACCAUAUUAUUACUGGGGUUUUUUUCGAUAACAGGCUUCGCUAUGAGCAAAAACAAAAAAAGAUUUGCGCACAGGACUCAGGGAAAGUUGUAGCAUACCGCAGAAAUUAAUUAACACGUGUUCUAUAACAGGCACAUCUGUUGCUAACAGGCUAUGGCUUUUUAACAUCAAGUGCUGCACAUUUUCUUCAGGGGCAUUGCAUUUCACAAAAACAUGUUCAAAUAGUACUUGAAUAGAAACAAAGUUGAUAGUUUUGUAAUUAGUGGCACCGAUUUAAAAUUGUUCUCAAUUCAUUGAGAAUAUUAUACAUAUUCUUUAUAAAAUGUUAUGAUUUCAAUGAUAUAAAUGACAAUGUAAUGAUUUCUUUUUUUACACUUAGAGUCUACCGCUUCUGCUUAUUUGGGAACAAAAAUAAACUGAUCACAAUCAAUGAAAUUAUUGAAACUGUGGAACAGCUGAAAAAACAUGGCAUGCAACUGGAGGACCAUGCACUUCAUAAAGAAGGCCCCUGGGGUCAAGUUUGCCUGACACUUGGUAUUCAGAAUAAUAAAAAUAACCGCUACAGAAUUUGUGAUGCAUUUCGUCAGAACUUGUCUAUACCAGUCGAAGGGGAUUCAGAUAAUGGACAAAAGCCACCAGAGCAGGAAGAACUAUCAGCUGCUGCUUCUCUGUCACCGGUCUUCUCCUUGCAGGAGGAUGGACAGCUGUCUCCUGAGCAGCAACCAGAAGAAGAACUAUCAGCUGCUGCUUCUCUGUCACCGGUCUUCUCCUUGCAGGAGGAUGGACAGCUGUCUCCUGAGCAGCCUAACAGCAACUCAUCUGAUGAUGGAUUCAUAAGAGUCAGGGUCCCACUUGCAACAAAAUUUUUUUUCCUGAAAAGGAAAGAAUGGACUAAUAUAAAAAAUAAGAGAUCCCAAAGAGGAUACAAGGGACUACAGUGGACAAAUCUGAUUUCAGACGGAAUACGGACUGUGUUUCCAUAUUGUUCCUUUGCCUUCAAAAGGCACAGAGUCAAGGCUUUGGACUCAGUAAGAAAGGGCCCUUUCUUCUGGUGUCUGGGUUACUGCAGUUUUGAGGAUUGUCCAGUCACUGUCACUGUCACUGUAGAUAAUGAAGACGAUCUAAAGACAAAAGUCAAUUUUCAAGGUCUCGAGUGUGUGCACAACCAGUAUGAACUAAGAAGAAGACC